AUGUAAAGAGAAUAGAUGCUGUGCUGUAUGUUGAACGUAUUGUCUAUAUCACAGUGGCUGUUCUUUUUGUAC
rfam:Drosophila grimshawi strain TSC#15287-2541.00 scaffold_15112 genomic scaffold, whole genome shotgun sequence.